rfam:Penicillium marneffei ATCC 18224 scf_1105668340738 genomic scaffold, whole genome shotgun sequence.
UCCGAUAUGGUGUAACGGUAACAUCGCCGUCUCUCAUUAGAAAGACACGAUCACGGCAGCUCGGGGUUCGAUUCCCCGUGUCGGAG